rnacentral:rRNA from 1 species
GACGAACGCUGGCGGCGUGCUUAACACAUGCAAGUCGAACGGAAAGGCCCUGCUUGCAGGGUGCUCGAGUGGCGAACGGGUGAGUAACACGUGGGUGAUCUGCCCCUUACUUUGGGAUAAGCCUGGGAAACUGGGUCUAAUACUGGAUAGGACCAUGCUGUAGGUGGUGUGGUGGAAAGAUUAGUUUCGGUAAGGGAUGAGCUCGCGGCCUAUCAGCUUGUUGGUGGGGUAAUGGCCUACCAAGGCGUCGACGGGUAGCCGGCCUGAGAGGGUGGACGGCCCCAUUGGGACUGCGACACGGCCCAGACUCCUACGGGAGGCAGCAGUGGGGCAUAUUGCACAAUGGGCGCAAGCCUGAUGCAGCGACGCCGCGUGGGGGGUGACGGCCUUCGGGUUGUAAACUCCUUUCAGCCAUGACGAAGCCCUUGUGGUGACGGUAGUGGUAGAAGAAGCACCGGCUAACUACGUG